UACGGGGGGCGCAAGCGUUAUUCGGAAUCACUGGGCGUAAAGCGCGUGUAGGCGGUUCGGCAAGUCGGCUGUGAAAGCCCGAGGCUCAACCUCGGAACUGCAGCCGAAACUGCCGGUCUCGAGUUCCGGAGAGGGUGGCGGAAUUUCCGGUGUAGAGGUGAAAUUCGUAGAUAUUGGGAGGAACACCAGAGGCGAAGGCGGCCAACUGGACGGUGACUGACGCUGAGACGCGAAAGCGUGGGGAGCCAAUAGG
rnacentral:rRNA from 1 species